rnacentral:tRNA from 1 species
UUUUUUUAUGGCUGAGAUAGGCAGUAGAUUUUUAAUCUACGUACGGAAGUAAUUCCUUUGCGAU